UGCUUAUUUGUGAGCCCUUUAGUAGGACAGAGGGGCUGCUAAUAUGUGACUCCUUGAGACUGAAGGAAGAGGUCUCCAGAAGGGGAAGAGUGAAGCUGAUGGUGUCAAGGAGGUCUGUGGAAGCCACCGGCAAAGCAUCUGUGACAGUAUUCCAGACAUGUUUGCCAGCCUUUGCAGACUCCAAGUGGCUGGC
rnacentral:lncRNA from 1 species